CGCGGAUUUCGAAUCCUCUUUCCGUCGAUUUUUUUUUCCCCUGCGGAUUGAGCAAAGAAUAGUCACUUGUGAGACGAGAAUCGGGGGAAAACGGGGCUGAUUUCCGGAAUUUUAUUCGGUCUGAUCUCAGACGUCGCUAUAAUGGCUGGUUGGAGUCGCAUGAUGAGGCGCCGCACCUCCAAGCGAGUCACAAAGGCUGUUGAUAUGAAACUUCUAGGGUCGCUUAGCAGAGGUGAUCUGAAGAAAUAUGUAGUGAUAAUUUUCCAUAAUGGAUAUUGCUUUCCGGCCUUUGAGCAGGUUAAAUGGCUGAAUAAACUACUGAACAAGAUCAAGAUGUGGCCAUAUGUUUCAGAGCAACUAUGGUGUGAUUAGAGAAUCUGUUGAAACAAACCGUUGCUGGAAGAAUACAGACCUUCAGCUUUUACUUCACUGAAGUUUAGCAAAUUGACUCUGGGAAAUGUAGCACCAAAGAUUGAAUGUACCCUUAUGUGGAGAGCCUAUAUCUUAAGGUAAUCCGCGUUCGAAGUCUCUAGGAAGGUCAAAUCAGAGAGGACAUUGAUCUUCGAUGGGGGUGGUAAUCCAAGCAUCAUUUUAGGCGAUACAGCACUGGAGAUAAUUUAAAUUCCUUACACUGCAUUUUCUCCAAAAUUAGAAGAUUAACCCAUCUCACCAAAGAGUUUUUUUUCUUUUUCUGCUGGCUCAAACAGUUGAAGGAUCUACAAGUAUUCACAGUUGUCCGUGUUAUCUUUCAAAUUGCCGAGGAGAUUCCUUGCAUUUCUGCUGUUGUUGUUGCUCUACUUGCCUGAGGUACGGUACAUUUGCGUUUGAAUGAUCCACAAUCAUAUGCUUUUUUCCAUCUUUUAAAUGGCGACCUGUUUUUU